UACGUAGGGUGCAAGCGUUAAUCCGAAUUACUGGGCGUAAAGCGUGCGCAGGCGGCUUUGCAAGACAGAUGUGAAAUCCCCGGGCUUAACCUGGGAACUGCAUUUGUGACUGCAUGGCUGGAGUGCGGCAGAGGGGGAUGGAAUUCCGCGUGUAGCAGUGAAAUGCGUAGAUAUGCGGAGGAACACCGAUGGCGAAGGCAAUCCCCUGGGCCUGCACUGACGCUCAUGCACGAAAGCGUGGGGAGCAAACAGG
rnacentral:rRNA from 1 species